AAAGGAAUAGACGGGGGCCCGCACAAGCAGCGGAGCGUGUGGUUUAAUUCGAAGCAACGCGAAGAACCUUACCAAGGCUUGACAUCCCUCGCUAGCCUGGGAAACCAGGUGUUCCCUUCGGGGACGAGGAGACAGGUGGUGCACGGUUGUCGUCAGCUCGUGUCGUGAGAUGUUGGGUUAAGUCCCGCAACGAGCGCAACCCCUGUGCUUAGUUGCCAUCAUUAAGUUGGGCACUCUAAGCAGACUGCCGGUGACAAACCGGAGGAAGGUGGGGAUGACGUCAAAUCAUCAUGCCCCUUAUGUCUUGGGCUACACACGCGCUACAAUGGUCUGUACAAAGGGCGGCAAAGCCGUGAGGCCGAGCGAAUCCCAUAAAGCAGAUCUCAGUUCGGAUUGCAGGCUGCAACUCGCCUGCAUGAAGUAGGAGUUGCUAGUAAUCGCGGAUCAGCACGCCGCGGUGAAUACGUUCCCGGGCCUUGUACACACCGCCCGU
rnacentral:rRNA from 1 species